rnacentral:rRNA from 1 species
UACGUAGGGGGCAAGCGUUAUCCGGAUUUACUGGGUGUAAAGGGAGCGUAGACGGCGAUGCAAGUCUGAAGUGAAAGCCCGGGGCUCAACCCCGGGACUGCUUUGGAAACUGUAUGGCUGGAGUGCUGGAGAGGCAAGCGGAAUUCCCAGUGUAGCGGUGAAAUGCGUAGAUAUUAGGAAGAACACCAGUGGCGAAGGCGGCUUGCUGGACAGUAACUGACGUUGAGGCUCGAAAGCGUGGGGAGCAAACAGG